AGUGAACGCUGGCGGCAGGCCUAACACAUGCAAGUCGAACGGCAGCACAGUAAGCGCUUUCCCUUACGGGUAGCGAGUGACGGACGGGUGAGAAAUACAUCGCAAUCUACUUUUUCGUGGGUAAUAACGUAGGGAAACAUACGCUACUACCGCAUACUACCUACCGGUGAAAUCAGGAGAUCUUCGCACCCUUCCCGUUUGAAUUAGAUGGUGUCGGAUUAGCUAGUUGGCGGGGUAAAGGCCCACCAAGGCGACGAUGCGUAGCUGGACUGAGAGGAUGAUCAGCCACACUGGAACUGAGACACGGUCCAGACUCCUACGGGAGGCAGCAGUAGGGAAUCUUGGGCAAUGGGCGCAAGCCUGAUGCAGCAAUGCCGCGUGAGUGAAGAAGGUCUUCGGGUUGUAAAGCCCUUUUGUUGGGAAAGAAAAGAAGCAGAUUAAUACGCCGCUGUUCUGACGGUACCCAAAGAGUAAGCACCGGCUAACUUCGUG
rnacentral:rRNA from 1 species